UACGGAGGAUGCGAGCGUUAUCCGGAUUUAUUGGGUUUAAAGGGUGCGUAGGCGGCUUUUUAAGUCAGCGGUGAAAUUUUGCAGCUUAACUGUAACAGUGCCGUUGAUACUGGGGAGCUAGGAUUUGGUUGUAGUGUGCGGAAUGUGUGGUGUAGCGGUGAAAUGCUUAGAUAUCACACAGAACACCGAUUGCGAAGGCAGCACACUAAGUCAUUAUUGACGCUGAGGCACGAAAGUGUGGGGAUCAAACAGGAUUAGA
rnacentral:rRNA from 1 species